rnacentral:tRNA from 1 species
AAUUGGAUGGCUGAGAUUUUAAGCGGUAAAUUGUAAAUUUAUUAACGAAUAGUUUUCUUCAAUUA